CAGUAGCCGCGGGAAUACGUAGGUGGCAAGCGUUGUCCGGAAUUAUUGGGCGUAAAGGGCUCGCAGGCGGUUUCUUAAGUCUGAUGUGAAAGCCCCCGGCUCAACCGGGGAGGGUCAUUGGAAACUGGGAAACUUGAGUGCAGAAGAGGAGGGUGGAAUUCCACGUGUAGCGGUGAAAUGCGUAGAGAUGUGGAGGAACACCAGUGGCGAAGGCGACUCUCUGGUCUGUAACUGACGCUGAGGAGCGAAAGCGUGGGGAGCGAACAGGAUUAGAUACCCCCGUAGUCCCUGUCUCUUAUAC
rnacentral:rRNA from 1 species